rnacentral:tRNA from 7 species
GCGCCCUUCGUCUAUCGGUUAGGACGUCAGCCUUUCACGCUGAAAAGGCGGGUUCGACUCCCGCAGGGCGCGCCA